GAUGAAGAACGCAGCGAAAUGCGAUACGUAAUGUGAAUUGCAAAUUCAGUGAACCAUCGAGUCUUUGAACGCAGGUUGCGCCCGAAGCCAUUAGGCCGAGGGCACGCCUGCCUGGGUGUCACACACCGUUACCCUCGCGCCAACGACCAUCGUUGGCCGCGGCGCGGGGCGUGCGCUGACCUCCCGCGAGCGGGGUCUCGUGGUUGGUUGAAAAUCGAGUUCGCGGUCGAGGGUGCCGUGAUGAAAUGGUGGAUGGGCGACGCCCGAGGCCAAUCACGCGCGACUCCGUCCGGCUCGGACUCCUGGACCCCUUCGGCGUCUCCGGACGCUCUUUGGCGAGACCUCAGGUCAGGCGGGGCUACCCGCUGAGUUUAAGCAUAUCAAUAAGCGGAGGA
rnacentral:misc_RNA from 1 species